AUGUCAGCCCUGAACCAGGGCCUCGUGCUAGGAAGGCCCACAGUCCGAGGGAGAAGAGGAACCCUUCGGCCUCCCCUCCGGGAACUGGUGGGGGCGCGAGGAUCUUUUCCCCAGCCUGGUCCUGGAGUUGUGGCGCUUCUGUUUGUUGCCUUGGCAACAGGGAGAGGAAACCCUCAUUUAGGAGGCAGGGGAGGCCCCGGCAACCGCGCACACAGAUACACACAGACCGCACGCAGCCGCCCACGCGCCUCUGCCUGCGUCAGCGCCGGGCCGGGGUGGGGGAGCNNNNNNNNNNNNNNNNNNNNNNNNNNNNNNNNNNNNNNNNNNUGCCCCAGGCCCGCAGGUGGCUGGGGCCUCAGGGUUUGUGCUGGCCUAGCGGGGUGGCCUGGCCUCCGCUGGUGGGGUGUUGGGGAUGGAGCUCCGCGGCAGGGCCUGAGGUCAAGGCCAAGAGGAAUGAGGUCCACCCCACAUAGCCCCCAGCCCGUGAGUGGCACAGGACAGCCACUUAGGAAGGGGCGCGGUCUCCACGCAGCGGUGUAACUACCACCUGUACGCACUGACUCAGCAGGGCCGCACCUGGUGCUCAGGAGGAAACGAUAAGGGCUGUCCCUCCGCAGUCCCCUCACAAUCUUCCCCUUCCGUCUGCCUCUGGAGUUAGAACCCCCUUUCUGCAGAUGACUUGGACAGGUGGAUCUCGGCGAGGGUGACGGCCCCUCCCCUAGGGACGUGGCCCCAUCUGCGGAUGUCUGUCACAGCAGGGACAGAAGUGCAGUGGCAUCCAGAGGACAGGGAGGCUGCGGUGUCACAGUGUAGAGCCUUCCCUAAGGGGUCAUCUGUCUCCGGGUGUCCACAGUGCCGAGCAGGGAGACCCCACCCUGCACGCACAAGUUCACCUCCUUCGUCUCUGGACGGGGCUCUAAGAGGGUCUGGGGCAGUGGGAGCUGUGGAACCAGAGGGGGCCUAUGAGCGGGCUUUAUAGGUGUUCGGUUCUGACCGGGCCUUCACAGCACGCUGUACUGGAGAGGUCAAGCAGAACCGGAACAUGAUUACCAUCAGGAGGCCGGCAGCAGCUGCAUCUGCGUCAACACAGUCGCGCAGGAAGCGGACCAGCUGACCCAGAUCACGCUGACUAUCCCAGGACCUCACACCGCCCUGCGCUGAGGGCCACCUGUGCCAGAACUGCAGCCACGGGAGUCGGAGUUGUCCAGUCACAGUGCCAUAACCAGGCUGCCGCUGGCCUCCCUGGCCCCAGUGACCCGUCCCUUCUCCACCUGUAAUAAAUGCCAGGUUCUAUGGGCAAAAAAAAAGAGAGGAUGUUUGUUGUAGUGCUGUUUUACACGGUCAGCAAGAUAAUGCAGAUUCCUGCGCCCAGUGAUAGUACCUUUCAGUACUCAGUAGUCAUUCCUGUGCUGCUGGAGCCCCGCCUUCUUGCACUGUACCCUUUAGUGGCUUUCUCUCACCAAGGCCAGCGCCUUUGGUUUUAUUUAAUGAGAUACUGUUGCUAUGUUGCCCAGCCUGUUCUUGAGCUGGUGAGCUCAGGUGAGCCUCCUGCCUUAGCCUCCCGAAUGGCCUCUGACUUCCCCGUCACUUGUCUGGAUGCUGCUGUCUUCUAGGCCUCCAGUCUGGUCAAGCAGCUGGAGGCCUCUUCCUCGUUGGCCCUCAUGCAGACUCCUCCCUCCACCCACACUUUGCAGCCUUGUCCCUCUGCCCUCCUCCUGGCAGGACCAGCUGCACACUCCCUUCUUCCCCUGCUCCGGCACCUCUGCAAGCCUUCCGCCCGGCAUCAGUUCACCUGCGCGCCUCCCACUCGUCCAGCCAAAGUGCCAGGAGACAGGGGCACUUGUCCUGAAUUUGGCAGGCUGCUGGCUCCAAGUUCUGGGCUCCACCUGCUUCUUACUGUCUGCUUUUGGAAAAGUCACCUGUGCCUGUCAAGUGGGGACCCAGUCUGCAGCCCAUGGGGAUGUGUGUGAAAACACAAGGAGAAAGCCUGUAUAAUAACGGGACGUGGUAGUGGUGAAUACCUGUGAAUACCAGCACUUGAGAGGCUGGGGCAGGAGGAUCUCAAGUUCAAGGCCGGUCCAGGCAAUUUAACCAGACUAUCUCAAAAGUAAAUUAGGGCAGGGGAUUUAGCUCAGUGGUGCUGCGUCCUGCCUCACAAGUGCAAGGUCGUAAAUUCAAUCUCUGGUACCAAAUUAAUUAAUUAAUGAAAUAAAAAGUGCUGAGAAUGAAGCUCAGUGGUACAGUGCUCUUGGAUUCAAUCCUCAGUGCCAAANNNNNNNNNNNNNNNNNNNNNNNNNNNNNNNNNNNNNNNNNNNNNNNNNNNNNNNNNNNNNNNNNNNNNNNNNNNNNNNNNNNNNUUUUUUUUUUUUUUUUUUUUUUUUUUUUUUGUACCAGGGAUUGAACUCGGGACCUUGCACUUGCAAGGCAGGCAGCAGAACCUGCUCUUAGUUUUAAUUCUCACAGCACUUAUCACCUUGUAAGAAACUAUAAUUUUACCAGGUGUGGUGGUGCACGCCUGUAGUCCCAGCACUUGGGAGGCUGAGGCAGGAGGAUUGCUGUGAGUGUGAGGCCAGCCUGGGCUACAUAGUGACACCAUUUCAAAACAAAGAACUAACCUAUAAUUUUGCCUCUUGUUGACUAGCUUCACUAGAAUGUGGGCUCCAUGAGUGUAGGCAUUUUUAUGUUUCUGUUCUUGCUGUUUGAGUGCUGGGGAUGGAACCUGGGCCUUGUGCAUGCUGUGCUGAGCUUUACCACUGAACUCCAGCUUGGCCCUGGCUUUUUUUUUUUUUUUUUUCUUAUUGGUACCGAGGAUUGAACUCUGGUCCUUGCACUUGCAAGGCAGGCGGCAGAACCACUGAACUAAAUCCCUGUGUGGCCUGAUUUUUAAUCUGUUUUCUUCACUGCCGCAUCCCUGGUGCCUAGAAGAAUGCCUGGCACACAGCAGGUGUUCAGAAAUACUUGUUAGAGGAGUGACUGCUCUGUGCAUGUGCACUUCUGUAGCAGCCCUAAACCUACCCUCUCCGUGAAACCUUCCUUCACAUGCAUGUUACCUUCUUUGCAGGGACAUCCCCGUUUUACAGAUGAGGAAACUGAGGCUGAAGGACAUGAAAUGACCUCCCUAAAAUCACUCACCCGAAAAGUGGUGGGGAGAUGUGUCAUCUCUUGUGUGCUGUCAGGGGGCUAGGCCUUGGGAACUGAUGACAAGAUUCGAUUCGGUCCUUCCUGUCCCGCACAGCGCUUCCAGGAAGAGGGAUGACAGAGGGAGGCCCAGGAUGUUAAUAUAGCACAGAGGAGCCUCCCCAGCCCCUCAGGUCAUUGUCCUGUAAGCCAAGUGUGCAAACUGUCCCUUAGAUUGAACCACUGUAUUUAUAUUGAACCCAAGGUCUUCAUACCAAGCUACCUGGAUAAACUGCCCAGGCUGGCCUUAAACUUUUUGUUGGCUAUUGUUUGUUUUGUUUUUCAAGACAGGGUCUCGCUACAUAGUUCAGGCUGGUAUUGAACUCACCAUGUAGCCCAGCCUGGCCUCAAACUCACAGCAAUCCUCCUGGCUCAACCUCUGCAGUGCUAGGAUAACAGGCGUCCGCCACCACGCCCCGCUUGGCCUUAAACUUUUGAUCCUCCUGCUUCAGCCUCUCAGAGUGCUGGGAUUACAGGUAUGCACCCCUGAACUGGCUUCAGAUACUAUAUUCUGAGUAUUCAUCAAUGCUGUAGCUCCCAGACUUCUAGAAUCCACUUGGAAUUCACUAUCCAAUGUAGUGCCACGCUGUUCUUUAACCAGUUGGACUUUUUUGCUUCUUCUGUCUUCACCAGUUGAAGGCUUCCUUGAGAGCUAGCAUAGCAG
rnacentral:lncRNA from 1 species